CCCAAAGCCUCCACCUCACUCCCAUUACGUGUCUGCUGGGGGUCAGCUGCACUUCUUCUCUGCAUCUCCAGGACCCACCCACUGACCUCGCAAAGGGAAGAAGAUGGCGUAGAAAACCACAACUGGCCCUUAGGGCUCUGCUUAGAAGUGACACUGCCAUUUCUGCCGACGUCUCAUUGGCCCAAGCAAGUCACGUGGCCACUCCUGAGUUCAAAAGAUUGUGGAAUCAGGAUCAUUCUAGCUUCAUGACAUGAAAAGAAGUUUUCUACGCUUUAGAACACAUAAACAGUACCAGAAUCAUCCCUGUCUCAAAGCUUUGAUAGAAUUGUACUGCACAUUCAUUUGGGUUCAGUUCUAUUUGGCACCUGGAUCAGAAUCACAGUCGAUGGGCAGCAGAGAAAGAACAUGAACUUGGGCCACAUGACUUCAAGUCCAUGCCCCAGGCUCUUAAGUGAGUAUUCCAAUUGCCAUUCAUCUAUGAACACCUGUUUUGAUUUCACCUUUCAAUGCUCUAGAAAAGAUUUCUUUUUAAUAGUAACCUAUAAUGGAAAAGAAUCUGAAAAAGUGAAUCACUUGGUUAUACAUCAGAAACACUGUAAAUCAAC